rnacentral:misc_RNA from 1 species
GAAGUGCGAUAAGCAAUGCGAAUUGCAGAACCGUGAGUCAUCAGAUUUUUGAACGCAACUGGCGCCAGUUGGCUCUCCAACCGGCAUGCUUGUUUCAGUGUCUCUUUAUCUCAUCACCCAUAUCAUAAUGCGAGAGAUACCCUUCUCUUGCUAAGCUCGAAAGCACUCUGCGCUCUGCGAGCGGCUUCGACUUGUUCGAGGGUCGCACUCAAUGCAGCCGUCACAUUGCUCACAAUGUGAACUCGUUGAGAGCUGAGGCAGUGUAGCGUAAGCUACCAGUGCUUAGUCACACAAACUUUACUUGCAUCUGAAAUCAAGCAGGAUCACCCGCUGAACUUAAGC